GAUGAACGCUAGCUACAGGCUUAACACAUGCAAGUCGAGGGGUAACGAGAGGAAAGCUUGCUUUCCUUGUCGACGACCGGCGCACGGGUGAGUAACGCGUAUCCAACCUGCCCCCAACUAGGGAAUAACCUUGCGAAAGUAAGACUAAUACCCUAUAGUUUCCUCAGAUGUCAUCUGACGAGGAAUAAAGAUUUACCGGUUGUGGAUGGGGAUGCGUCUGAUUAGCUUGUUGGCGGGGUAACGGCCCACCAAGGCAACGAUCAGUAGGGGUUCUGAGAGGAAGGUCCCCCACAUUGGAACUGAGACACGGUCCAAACUCCUACGGGAGGCAGCAGUGAGGAAUAUUGGUCGAUGGGCGGAAGCCUGAACCAGCCAAGUAGCGUGCAGGAUGACGGCCCUAUGGGUUGUAAACUGCUUUUAUACAGGAAUAAAGUUAGCCACGUGUGGUUAUUUGUAGGUACUGUAUGAAUAAGGACCGGCUAAUUCCGUGCCAGCCGCCGCCGUAA
rnacentral:rRNA from 1 species